rnacentral:lncRNA from 1 species
GGGGUCACUCACUACUAUGGGUCACACUAGUGGGCCCAUGUGCAGGCUGGGAAGCAGCCAUAAGGUGAAGAGAUGCCGGAAACCAGGGGAUCUCAACGGACCAGUCUCGGGCGUCGGACCUCAUUGGAUCCCGCCCCGAAGAGCGUCCCUGAAGAAGGGCGAUAAGCUGAACAUGCGGGUGGCCAGGAGGGCGCUCCUGGCCCCGGCCGACCAGGACUUUGCGUACCUAGACCAGUGCCUACCGAGCGCUUCGGAACCCACCCGACGCCACCCGCUUCUCCAGAAUCCCAGAUGGUAUCCCUCGCCCCGCGUAGCACUACCUUCGAGCCUCGGGCCGCACCCGCGAAAACAGCGUGGCGAGCUUAGCUACCGAUCGGAUCGCGCAUCCCAAGACGGUGGCUGCGCACCCCAUCCGUGUACAUUCCGGGGUGUGGCUCUCAGCCAGGAGCCUGGAGGCGAAGGCGGACGGCGGGUGGAUACUCACCGAAGUAUACGGUCUUGUCACACUUGGGACACUUGGAGGCCAUGGUCGGUGCGCUCGGUCGGUCCGCGCCCUCCACCCGCGCUCGUCUCUGUGCCGCCGCCCGCGCCUGCCCCGCCCGCCCCCGGACGUCGAUUGGCUCCGAGACCUGGGCGGGGCCUCUGGAGCCCGCCCCCUAGACGCCAGCAGCUGGGCGCGCUGCAGGCGGGGCGCACCUGCCAGGGUCGGAAGGGCCCGGCCUAGCGCCCCCUACCCCGGAGUGAGGUGGCGUCCACAGGGAUCGCCCGAGGAUUCCAUGGCCACAUAGUGAUCUCUAGCUGUAGAACGGACUUGGGAUCCCCAGCUUUAGGUCUCGAGGUCCGGGCCUGCUCGUGGUAGAAGGGGGCACGAGAAGCCCGCGGGACGCGCCCCCGCCCCUCGCGCCUCCCGGCGCCGCCUCCCUUUGUUGCCUCGUUUCUAUAGCAACGGUCUCGCAGCACAGAAGCACGAAGCAUCGGAUUCCGGGCGGGGCGCCGCGGUCCUGUCUGUGGUGCUGAAGGAGGGGCGGGCGAGGCUCACUUGUAAGCGCCACCACUUCCAAAAACAGCUUAAGAAACCACUGGGAUGAGUGGGGGCGGGGUGGCGUCAGCCAGAGCAGGCUCUGACGGGGCCGCAGGUGCACUUGCCUCUAAGGCACUUUUAUCCUUGGAGGAAUGGGGUACCUGCGAAUUUCCUCCGCGGCAAGUGUUGUGGGCUAAUACCCCCUUCUGUGAGGUUGCUGCUGCUCUUCCUCAGACUAAGAGUCUCUGACUCCCACAAUGCUGGCCCCAAAGCAUUCUGUAGAGCAGCAGAGCCAGAAAUCCUGCUUGUCCUCAGAAUAGUCCCCUUCCAGUUUCCUUCCCACUAAGGGCUUGCUUGCCGUCCCACCCUCCUUACUUUCUGACUCCCAUGGACCUACAGGCCUCUCUCUGAGCCUCUUGACCCAACCUGAGCCUUGGGCCUGGGGAACAAACACUCUACAAGUCUCAAACCCUGAUGACCCUGCCCAGUAUGGACAGCUGACUCCAGAGAAACCCCUCCCACACUUUCCUCACUGCCGUGCUGGAGACCCACAUUUCAUUUCUGUGUCCAGCCCAUGGACUGGGAGCCAAGUGGUCCCAGGUACCAGGCAUGUUGGUAAUCCCUGGCCUACUCUUAUAGCUCCAUGUGGUGGCCUUCCUUUGUACACAUAUCCUGCAGUAACUGCCAUUUCCAUGGUGACAACAGCCCAGAAACGUGCCACCCCCUCCAAGCCUGACUGACCAGCCAGACCAGCUCCCCCUGGCACCUGUGGACACAUGCCAGCCAAGGUGAGAGGCAGGCAAGGAAGCCUUCCUGGACAGACCCUUCGCUCACAGCCAGGUUCCUGUUCAGGCUGAAUGUAUAGGUGUCCUGACUUCCAACCCAAGCAUCCAUUACUGCGCCCCCUCCAGCUUCCCAUUUAGGAGUCCUGUGGACCUCUAGGUACCAGCCUGCUUGACCACUCCACCGCUAAUAUCUGCCGUGAAAGACAGGGCUGACUGGGCUAAGCACAGCUAGUCUUCUAAAAAGGCCUCAAGGGUGCCCGGCCACAAUGAGAGUGGAUAGGAGUAGGCCCCCUCCCGGGGCAAUCCUGGCUGGAUGCCCAGGGCGAGAAGGGGAUGGAGAGGGCCGGGUAAGAGUUCCUAAUUGCUGCUUCUGUCCUACCUCCUCUGCUGGGUCCCUGGAUGAUGAAGGAGGGCUAUGGGGCUGUUGUGAGCCUGGCAGGAAGGCACACGGGCCAAUGACAAACAGUAACCUUGACCUCCACACCUGAGGCUGUAACAGGAUCGCAUGGGCAGGCACAGAAAGGCACCUCUGGACACACACCAGCCAAGGGAAGAGGUAGGUAGAGGCUUCCACAGUGCCUUUUGGGACAGGGUCCCUCCUUUCUCAGCUAGGAUGGACUCAUUUGUGUCCUGGUAGAUGGUGUGGUGUGGAGCAGGUCAGCAGCUCUCUUCUCUAGGGCCCCAACAAGAUAAGAAAUACAGUGGAAUUCUAUCUUCACGUGUCCUGUCAUCCAGGGCAGGGUCACAGAUCUACCGUGGGAACCUAUGGCCAGGAAUGGUAAGGCCUGGAAUGGAGGCUCUGAGCUACGUCCAGGUCGUCAAGUCAGCACCAGUCUCUCGGGUCACUGCCUGACCAUUGUAGAAUGGGUCCUACCUGUUUUUCUCAUUAAAAGGCUUCAGGAUAGUGUAGAUUACUUUCCUGGGCCCAUGAACCACCAGCCUAUGUCUAAUUCCCGUUCUUCACCUUGGCUUUCAUGUCCAAUAGUCUUGGCCCUGUUUCUAUAGUGGGCACUGGAGCCCACUUAGGAAUGUCAGUAAAAAAGAGACCUGUGUCUGUGGAAAGCUGAGGGAACUAGGCCAGAAGGGGCUUCGUCUGGACCUCGAUGGAGCCAUGCUCCCCAGACUCCCGAUGGGAAAAGGACUCACAGGAGGCCCUUGAAGAGAGUAGUGGAGGACAAGGUAGAGGCCAGAGCAACCGGGAGAAGCCCAAUGACCCUGGGGACGUGAGUAGGGUAUAUGUCACAGCACUGUCCCGGACACCUGGCCUGUCACCCCGAUAAGCCCCAUCACAAGCUCAGGGAAGCUGAGAUACCCCUUAUCUGUAUCUCAAGUGGGAACAUAAAUGGUUUCUAUUUU